rnacentral:rRNA from 1 species
AAUGAACGUUGGCGGCGUGGAUUAGGCAUGCAAGUCGUGCGGAAAGGCUCCUUCGGGAGUACUCGAGCGGCGAAAGGGAGAGUAACGCGUGGAUAUCUACCCCCUGGACUGGGAUAGCGGCGGGAAACUGCCGGUAAUACCAGAUAAUGUCUGCGGACCAAAGGUGUGAUUCCGCCGGGGGAUGAGUCCGCGUCCUAUUCACUAGUGGGUGGGGUAAUGGCCCACCAAGGCAAAGAUGGGUACCGGGUGUGAGAGCAUGGACCGGCUCACUGGGACUGAGACACUGCCCAGACACCUACGGGUGGCUGCAGUCGAGAAUCUUCGGCAAUGGGCGCAAGCCUGACCGAGCGACGCCGCGUGCGGGAUGAAGGCCUUCGGGUUGUAAACCGCUGUCAGAGGGGAGGAAAUGCAUGAGGGUUCUCUCUCAUGUUUGACCUAUCCUCAGAGGAAGUACGGGCUAAGUUCGUGCCAGCCGCCGCAGUAAGAC